rnacentral:rRNA from 1 species
AACGAACGCUGGCGGCAGGCUUAACACAUGCAAGUCGAGCGCCCCGCAAGGGGAGCGGCAGACGGGUGAGUAACGCGUGGGAAUCUACCCAUCUCUACGGAAUAACGCAUGGAAACGUGUGCUAAUACCGGAUACGCCCUUUGGGGGAAAGAUUUAUCGCCGAAAGAUCGGCCCGCGUCUGAUUAGCUAGUUGGUGAGGUAAUGGCUCACCAAGGCGACGAUCAGUAGCUGGUCUGAGAGGAUGAUCAGCCACACUGGGACUGAGACACGGCCCAGACUCCUACGGGAGGCAGCAGUGGGGAAUAUUGGACAAUGGGCGCAAGCCUGAUCCAGCCAUGCCGCGUGUGUGAUGAAGGCCUUAGGGUUGUAAAGCACUUUUGUCCGGGAAGAUAAUGACUGUACCGGAAGAAUAAGCCCCGGCUAACUUCGUGCCAGCAGCCGCGGUAAAACCUA